AUUGAACGCUGGCGGCAGGCCUAACACAUGCAAGUCGAGCGGAUGAAGGGAGCUUGCUCCUGGAUUCAGCGGCGGACGGGUGAGUAAUGCCUAGGAAUCUGCCUGGUAGUGGGGGAUAACGUCCGGAAACGGGCGCUAAUACCGCAUACGUCCUGAGGGAGAAAGUGGGGGAUCUUCGGACCUCACGCUAUCAGAUGAGCCUAGGUCGGAUUAGCUAGUUGGUGGGGUAAAGGCCUACCAAGGCGACGAUCCGUAACUGGUCUGAGAGGAUGAUCAGUCACACUGGAACUGAGACACGGUCCAGACUCCUACGGGAGGCAGCAGUGGGGAAUAUUGGACAAUGGGCGAAAGCCUGAUCCAGCCAUGCCGCGUGUGUGAAGAAGGUCUUCGGAUUGGAAAGCACUUUAUGUUGGGAGGAAGGGCAGUAAGUUAAUACCUUGCUGUUUUGACGUUACCAACAGAAUAAGCACCGGCUAACUUCGUG
rnacentral:rRNA from 1 species